UACGUAGGUCCCGAGCGUUGUCCGGAUUUAUUGGGCGUAAAGCGAGCGCAGGUGGUUUAUUAAGUCUGGUGUAAAAGGCAGUGGCUCAACCAUUGUAUGCAUUGGAAACUGGUAGACUUGAGUGCAGGAGAGGCGAGUGGAAUUCCAUGUGUAGCGGUGAAAUGCGUAGAUAUAUGGAGGAACACCGGUGGCGAAAGCGGCUCUCUGGCCUGUAACUGACACUGAGGCUCGAAAGCGUGGGGAGCAAACAGG
rnacentral:rRNA from 1 species